AUUGAACGCUGGCGGCAUGCCUUACACAUGCAAGUCGAACGGCAGCACGGGUGCUUGCACCUGGUGGCGAGUGGCGAACGGGUGAGUAAUACAUCGGAACAUGCCCUGUAGUGGGGGAUAGCCCGGCGAAAGCCGGAUUAAUACCGCAUACGAUCUACGGAUGAAAGCGGGGGACCUUCGGGCCUCGCGCUAUAGGGUUGGCCGAUGGCUGAUUAGCUAGUUGGUGGGGUAAAGGCCUACCAAGGCGACGAUCAGUAGAUGGUCUGAGAGGACGACCAGCCACACUGGGACUGAGACACGGCCCAGACUCCUACGGGAGGCAGCAGUGGGGAAUUUUGGACAAUGGGCGAAAGCCUGAUCCAGCAAUGCCGCGUGUGUGAAGAAGGCCUUCGGGUUGUAAAGCACUUUUGUCCGGAAAGAAAUCCUUGGCUCUAAUACAGUCGGGGGAUGACGGUACCGGAAGAAUAAGCACCGGCUAACUACGUG
rnacentral:rRNA from 1 species